AUCUUUCGGUCAUAUUUAAAAACUUUCGUUCUGAAGACAUGUGGCUAAAACAUUUUCUUAAAUAUCCUCCAAGUUUCCCUUUGUUAUUCCGAACCUUCCAGCGGGUGUUUUGCUGAGUGAGUAAGGCUUUACUGCCAGCGUUUGGCGCUCCUGGUCGAUGGAGCUAGACUCCUUCUCACCUGGGACGGGCCCGGUCCAGCCAGGUGCCCCUUCCGGCCUCCCCAGCAGACAGUGCAGUCAGUGGGGGGUAGGGGCUUACGGAGCCCUGUGAUGGUGGAGGACUGGGGAACUGGACCUCUCAGUCCAGUUAAUGAACUCACGGCCUGAGAGUGAGCCCCUCUGUCCUAUCCCUCCUUGCUGGAGGCCAGUGCCUCUGUCAUGCAGGCGCUGACAACGUACGGAAUACGCCCUUGUAGCAACCCUGGUCCAAUUCCCGCCUUUCAAGCGACAGGGCCUGGUGGAAUUCCUUAAGCAUCAUGCGGGCCUGAGAGCGGAGGUGGGCCCUACGGCGGAGGAGAACUUGAGAGACACCGAGCUGCUGGCUACGGAGCUGGAGCAGCUCCGCUCUGAGCUGCUGGCGCUGCAGAGCUCCGACGGGCAGCUGGUGGGCCUGGUGGAGGAGCUCUACGCUGAGGCCCAGCACAGAGCAGCACUGGUAGACAGCCUCCAGGAGGAGCUGCACAGUAAAUCAACGGAGGUCGAGGACCUGCGGAGACACCGGCAGAAACAGAGAGAGGAGCUGGAGCAGCUCCAGAGCGCCCACCAGAGGAAGGUACAAAGACUGUCUGACGGAGGAGAGGGAGGCGGUGGUUCAGCAGGUCAGUGACCUGGAGCAGACCGUCCUGAAGCCCAGGGGAUGUUCCCACUGCAGCAGACAGUACCACUGCCCCCUGCAGGACAGGGGCAGCAACUCCAGGCAUCGGCACCAGUCUAUGUGUGGUGCAGAGUUCCGGGCUGACCAGCAGGGGGAGCCGUGGUCAGCCCUGUGUGAGGACAAAGUCAUCACUCAGCCCCACUCUGCUUCCAAGCGCAGCCCAGAGAUGACUAAUAAUGUCUGGAUGCAGGCGGCUGCCAGGGGCCCGGUGCUACGGCCCUCCACCUCUCCGGCUCCGCAGCGCAUUUCUUCACAUAAUUAUUCUGAUUGAGUACAGAUGAUGCAGCCUUUCCC
ensembl:lncRNA